GGUAAGAUGGCCGAGUGGUUAAGGCGAGCGGUUUAAGUUAAGCGCUGUAUCACUACAGGUUAAAAUCCCGCUUGACGAGAGUCUCGUGGGUUCGAACCCCACUCUUACCA